rnacentral:lncRNA from 1 species
UGUGAUUGCUUUUUUUUUUCUCCCUUCCAAGUGGGAUUGAGGUGAUAAGACCUUGUUUUAACCACAGAGAGAAAUAAAAAAAUGAUGGGGGUCAUGGCUAUACUCCACCAAGUAAGCAUUACAGAAGACAAUCUCGUUAACUCCAUGGUGAUGUGGAAGGUCAGUCACCCCAUCUAGAGGAGUUGCAAUCACAUCCUGAAGACCUUCUGUAAAUUGCAAAUAGAAAACCGGUUUGGACACCACUUUUUGACUCACUUUCCCAGCAACAAAAAAAGAUCCAGGGCCUGUUCUGUCUCUACCACAACCACGUGACUGUCUCCUGUGUCUAAGAAACAGUGGGGGUGAGGUUUGGGUUCUCCUACCUAGAGACCUAAUUGUAAACAAUCUGUUGGUAUGCGUAUUAAUCUAGUGGGCCUUAUCUCGGUUCCUAAGAAACAGAUCUUCCACAUCUUAAACCAAGAUGCUUGUUUCAUGGUUCUCUUGUCCGUUGAUGUGUGAGAGUUAGAAUAAUGCGCUGAGGAAUAAAUCUUUACCACAUCUCUGUAGUAAUCAAUAGAUCUCAAUACCAAGGACUUCAAGGAGGAAAAGGGGUUUUUUAAAGAAAAAAAUCUUACACUGUGAUUUUUAUAACUUGCUGCUUCUCCCUCGUUCUGGCUGCUGAAAAGCUCAACUUCAGCCAACUGUCUACACCUAUUUAUUUUACUCCAUCAUAUUUCUUUGGAGAUUGUCUCAAGUCCUGUUUUUGAACAAUGGUAUGUGUAUAAACAGAUUCUUUUUUUUUUUUUUGGCAUUCUGUCAAAAACAUUUAGAAGCUGUUUGAAUUUCCUGCCUAGGCUUUCACUGAUUUCCACAAAUACCUCACUAAUUUUUACUGAUGACUUUGUUACAUAUUCAACCUAAUUCAUUCAUCUGAAAAGAAACAUGUUUUUGUAAAGAGGAAAGCUCACACAUUAAACAGGUCAGGGCAUCCUGCCACUGAGGAAUGUGUAGUAGACCAGAAGCCAGAAGAACCACUUCCUGGAUAUAACCUGGUAAGUCAGAACCCUUCUGAGUAGUUAGGCCAAAGCUGCAGGAGUGUUCGUGUCCACGAAGCCAUGGAGAAACAGCAAGGUCAGACUCAUACCCUGGCUGUCCACUGAAUGCCACCUCCGGCCCACAUUGAGUCCAUCUCAUACCUUAGAAAGAUGACAGCAGUGUCACCCCAGCUUGCUCAGAAAGGUGAAAGGACAAGCCACUUCUGUUCAGUAGCAGGAAAGCCCGCCCUUCUCCCCAUCGCUCUGAGAGCCAAAGCUGGGGAGGUACAGUGAAUAGAGGAUUUUGUGAGUUCUGGUGCUCAGUGACAGACAAGAUCCACGGAUUAGGAAACCCCCAGUGGAGGGAGCAGCUGAGUGGUUUGUGUGAUCCAAGCCUCUACCUCCACUCGAAUGCACUCCAAGUGUAAAUGGACGUUUGUCUUCAUUUUGUAUUACUGUUCAUCUAGAUGUCCUCUUGAAAGCUUGUGUGUGAAAUGUCUACAAUAAAUGGCUACCUUUGGUUUGCU